rnacentral:misc_RNA from 1 species
GAAAUGCGAUAAGUAAUGUGAAUUGCAGAAUUCAGUGAAUCAUCGAAUCUUUGAACGCACCUUGCGCUCCUUGGUAUUCCUUGGAGCAUGCCUGUUUGAGUAUCAUGAAAUCUUCAAAAUCAAGUCUUUUGUUAAUUCAAUUGGUUUGACUUUGGUAUUGGAGGUCUUUGCAGCUUCACACCUGCUCCUCUUUGUGCAUUAGCUGGAUCUCAGUGUUAUGCUUGGUUCCACUCAGCGUGAUAAGUUAUCUUCUAUCGCUGAGGACACUGUAAAAAGGUGGCCAAGGUAAAUGCAGAUGAACUGCUUCUAAUAGUCCAUUGACUUGGACAAUAUUUUUAUGAUCUGAUCUCAAAUCAGGUAGGACUACCCGCUGAACUUAA